UACGUAGGGUGCGAGCGUUGUCCGGAAUUAUUGGGCGUAAAGGGCUCGUAGGCGGUUUGUCGCGUCGGGAGUGAAAUCCACUGGCUUAACUGGUGGCUUGCUUUCGAUACGGGCAGACUGGAGGUAUGCAGGGGAGAACGGAAUUCCUGGUGUAGCGGUGAAAUGCGCAGAUAUCAGGAGGAACACCGGUGGCGAAGGCGGUUCUCUGGGCAUGUCCUGACGCUGAGGCACGAAGGCCAGGGGAGCAAACGGG
rnacentral:rRNA from 1 species